GUUGCUUGGUGCUUUAUUUCACAGAAGAAUGAACAUCUCAGCAAACGUACAGUAGUGUCAUACUUCCACAUAUCAGCAGAGCCCAGGCAGCAGCAGGAUUUUAAUGAUCUCUAUGCUUUAUCAGAUGUUAGAAGGGAAAAAGUAAACUGAGCAUAAUUUUCACAUACAAAUAUUGUCAAAAUAUCCCUGGUUUAAUUCUGUUUUAAUUAAAAUAGAUCUUACGCUGCCUCCUGUUGGUCAACCACAAACAGAAACAUCUAAAGUUAGACUCCAAAUGCUAUCAGCACAUCCUAUAUCCUACACCUUACCUAAUACUUAUCACUAAUCAGAAGAGGUAUACAGAUUUCUUAAUGGAGUAACACUGGGAACAAAUCUGACCAAUAAAUCUUACUCCAUUUUUUAAAUAUAAUGAAUUUUUAACAGCAGUAAACUGACUUACUACUAACAUAUUUUAAAUAUAGAAAAUAAAUUCAUUAAUACAGAAAUAAUAAUUAUCAGGUCUGUGCAAACAUAAUCAAUAGAAACACCUGAAUAAUUGAUAUUUAUUGUAACUAAACCAGUAUGAUAACAUUACCAAAGUGCCAUAAUGUUUUCAGUGCAUUCUUAUCAAACUAUCCAAUAUAAUCCUUACUGGGUAUUAAAAUCCCACGUGUAUAUUAUCUUAAUGUAUAUUGUACUGAUCAUGCUUAUAAUGUGUUCUGUGACAUACAGUAAACAACUAUUAGAAAUGUUUUGGUUACAUCAUUUAGGUGCAAAUAGUAGCAUAUACCUUUACAUGCAAUUUGUAUGUUUUAAACAUUUUCAUAUAUUUCAGUGAGAACCUAGGUAAUCGUUAUCUAGUAAUGCAUUAUUUUCAGAGGAACAUACUUUUUUAUUAAGUUCUGUGAGCUUUGAAAAGUCAGAAAAGUUGUAGAAAAAAAAAAUCACCCUGCAGUAAUUUUGGGAUCUUUUAAAAUUCUGUAAUUGCUGUGUAGUCAGCUAAAAUAUAUAUCUGAUCCAGACCUACAGAAGUAACUCAUGCAAGAAACCCAUAUUGUUUUGAGUAGUGCAGUUGACUUCACUGAGAUUUCACCCAUCACUAGGUAUAUUACAAAUCCUGUGAUAAAUAAGUCAUUAAUUUUAUCUUAAAGCCUUGUUUUUAACCAUGACUUUGUAACAUAGCUUCUUCUGCAUUCAAUUCCACUAUCAGAUUCAGCCCUCCAUGUGAAUCAGAAUCAGUUGAGUUGGAAGAGACCUUUAAAGGAUAUCUAGCCCAACUCCCUGCCAUGAACAGGGACACCUACAGCUCCAUCAGUGCUUCACUACCAUUUAAUGUAAAAAAAAUGUUUCUCUUACAUCUAGUCUGUAUCUCCCUUCUUUCAGUUUGAAACCAUUUCCCCUUCUCCUAUCACGCUGAAAUUACAACAAAUAAGUUUUUCUUUUUUCUCCUCCAUGGGUUUACCUACGUAACAGAAGAAAAUUAAUUCUAUUUCACAGUAACUUUUUGUAAUAAAUAGUAAAAAGGAACUGAUGCUACUAAUUAAUUUCCUCAUCACCAAUUAAGAGAGCAAAACACCAUCCGAAAUCCAUGAAUGAUUUGUUGGACUGGGAACUGACACUAGUUCCUGUGCAAAUGCAGCAUAGAAUAUCAAAGAAGCAUGUCUUUUUUCCCAAUAAAGUUAUGUUUAGGUUUUUGGUUUUUUUUUUCCUAUAUAUAUAUAUAUAUAUAUGAAUAACAAAUAAUUUACCACAUAUGCUCUGUUUGGUGUCAUAUGGCAGAGGUAUAAGCAUACAGCAAGUAUACCAAAUAAAACAUACUGUAAGAAAAUACUUGAAAGAAAGAGCAUCCCCUGAACUUGUGACUGACUCUUCUGUUUAUGCAGCCCAGCAAUUUGGUCAGGACAGAAGCAACAGAAAGUAACUUGCAGUUCUCUAGUCUCUUCUAACUUGCAUAGCUGUUUAUACCCAUAUAAGAUGGGCAUAAUGUGUCACUGUUGUCAUUGCAUAAAUUACAUGGUCAUUACUUGGGUAUAAAAAUAGCAUAAAACCACAAGCAAACAAGAAUUGGGCCCCUGUGCAGCAAAAGAAGGCAAUGACAGCAUCUCCUACUUGGAUACAAGCACUAUGGAGCAACAGAAGAUAACAAAGACAAAUUGCUCACUCCUUCUAAUAACCAGUGAUAGCUCAAGAAGAGUACAAUUUCUACCCAGGAGCUUCUGCUCCCUUGGCAGGGAUGAGGAUGAGGAGGGAUGAGUCCAGGCUCCACCCUUUCAGCCACUCAGGUGCACUGCUUGUACCCGAGCUCCCUGGGUUAGCCAUGCCUUCUCA
ensembl:lncRNA